rnacentral:lncRNA from 1 species
UUUAACUUAUUUUUCAAACUUCCAGAAUCCACCAGUAAGAGGAUCACAAUCCGAAGAAGUUACAGCAUUCUGAUUGAGAAAGAGUGGCAUUCUUAAGGAUACCUUCCAUCAAUUAUUGAUGCCAGAUUCCCAGAAAAUUGUCCUUCCUCUGCUGUUUUUAUAGGAGAUAGUCAGCUUCAGUCAAGGGACACUGUUGUGGCAAGUCCAUAGAAUUCUCUGGAACAACAACAAAAAAUUCUCUGGAACAAUAGGAAAAAUGAAGAUCCAGUCUAGGGCAAGCUGA